GCGCUCCACUCUUAAUGAACUGGUGGACUACAUUACAAUAAGCAGAGGCUGUUUGACAGAGCAGACUUACCCUGAAGUAGUUAGAAUGGUAUCUUGCAAUAUAUUCAGAACUCUCCCUCCUAGUGACAGCAAUGAAUUUGAUCCAGAAGAAGAUGAACCUACCCUUGAGGCAUCGUGGCCGCACUUACAGCUUGUAUAUGAAUUUUUCAUACGAUUUUUGGAAAGCCAAGAAUUCCAACCCAGCAUUGCCAAAAAAUAUAUAGAUCAGAAAUUUGUAUUACAGCUUCUGGAGCUAUUUGACAGCGAAGACCCUCGGGAACGGGACUACUUAAAAACAGUCUUACACAGAAUUUAUGGCAAGUUUCUUGGUCUUAGAGCAUUUAUCCGAAAACAGAUUAACAAUAUUUUUCUAAGGUUUGUUUAUGAAACAGAACACUUCAAUGGUGUAGCUGAACUGCUGGAAAUAUUAGGAAGUAUUAUCAAUGGCUUUGCUUUACCUCUUAAGGCAGAACACAAACAGUUUCUGGUGAAAGUAUUGAUCCCUUUACACACUGUCAGGAGCUUAUCACUCUUCCAUGCACAGGUCAUGUUCCUUGGGGAACUGGAAGAAAUAUUGGAUGUGAUUGAACCUUCACAAUUUGUUAAAAUCCAAGAACCUUUGUUUAAACAAAUCGCCAAGUGUGUAUCUAGCCCCCAUUUUCAGGUGGCAGAAAGAGCACUCUAUUAUUGGAAUAAUGAAUACAU
rnacentral:sRNA from 1 species